CCUAUACUUGGUAAAAAAAUGAUGGAGUGACGAAAAAAGAUAACCUUACUUCUUAUUGGAUUAGGAGGGUAAGCAGUUAGAAAGUUAAAUAGGCAAAUCCGUUUAACAUUAAUUUUGAGCUGUGAUGCAUAGUGAACAGGCAACUAAGUAACGAAUUAGGUGAUUCUAUGUUUCCAAGAAAAGCUUCUAGUGUUAAUUUUUUAUCAACCUGUACCGAGAACGGACACACGUCCCCAAGAUGAGUAUUCUAAGGCGAGCGAGAAAACCAAUGUUAAGGAACUCUGCAAAAUGACCCCGUAAGUUCGCAAGAAGGGGUACCCAUUUAUGGGUCACAGUAAAAUAGGGGGGGCAACUGUUUAUCAAAAACACAGCUCUCUGCUAAGUUGCAAAACGAUGUAUAGAGGGUGAAGCCUGCCCAGUGCCCGAAGGUUAAGCAAAGAUGUUAG
rnacentral:rRNA from 1 species